rnacentral:rRNA from 1 species
UGGGGAAUAUUGGACAAUGGGCGAAAGCCUGAUCCAGCAAUACCGCGUGUGUGAAGAAGGCCUUAGGGUUGUAAAGCACUUUCAAUUGGAAGGAAAAAAGUGAGGUCAAUACCCUCACUCUUGACAUUACCUUUAGAAGAAGCACCGGCUAACUCCGUGCCAGCAGCCGCGGUAAUACGGAGGGUGCGAGCGUUAAUCGGAAUUACUGGGCGUAAAGGGUGCGCAGGCGGUCGUGUGUGUCAGAUGUGAAAUCCCGGAGCUUAACUCCGGAACUGCGUCUGAAACUACACGACUAGAGCAUUGGAGAGGGAAGUGGAAUUCAUGGUGUAGCAGUGAAAUGCGUAGAGAUGUGGAGGAACACCGAUGGCGAAGGCAGCCCCCUGGGCCAAUACUGACGCUCAUGCACGAAAGCGUGGGGAGCAAACAGG